rnacentral:tRNA from 2 species
GGGGGAUUAGCUCAGUUGGGAGAGCGCUACAAUGGCAUUGUAGAGGUCAUCGGUUCGAACCCGUUAUCCUCCA